GAUUAUAAACAACUGGUUACUUUUUAUUCCUUUUUUUGUGUGCAAGUCGUUCGAAUAUCAAAUGUUAAUACUGGCAGCAUCGCCACCGCAACCACAGAUUACGCUGCGAAUUAAACAAUAAAAAACUAACAAUGUGGCAAUCAGCGUCCGAGCGGUAUUCCCUUACAGUUUCUUCCUCUUUACUUUUUCUUGCCACAGAUUCCUUUUGUGUCGCGGUUAAGGAGCCUUUGUCCGGGAUGUCCCACGGUCGGUGAGAGGUCUAAGAGCAAACAGGCCUUUGUUUCAAUGCUACAUUGUUUAAAUAGGCUAAUGUUCUCAUGGGAGCCCGUUGGAGCCGUCCACUUGUCGAAUUUGAAUUUGAACUGUCAAGUUUGAAUUUGGCGCGCGCUCGUAGGGGUGGCGCAGUCAGCCGCUGCGGCGGUCGGCAAGGAACUCACCGUCUUGAGGGCGAAAAUACGUUACGGGCCCUUCGGACCCCUCGUGUUGGUUUACAAUAGUGAUAACAGUGUGUUGCUAACUAGUGGCCGUUUGAAUUUUAUUUAUUAUGGUGAAAUUUUCGUAGUGCUUAUAACAUUGUGACUGCAAGAAGAGAGUGUAGAGAAGAAAAGAGAACUGUAAACAUUUAUAUUGUAUGUACAUAUUAGUUGAAUAAUUGAAUUAUUUUAUGUAAUUAUGUAUUGAUUUGUUUUACAAAAUUUAUUACCAUCAACAUUAUCUCAUUAGGUCAUUAAGUCUCCACUGCAGGAGGACAGAUAAUAAUUUAUCAGAAGCAAAUUUAUGUAGAAUUUGAGAACGAUAAGUACUUCCUGUGGGCUUAAAAAGCAAUAUUGUGGCCGUUCUAAAAUACAACUCUACUUUUUUCUGUGUAAUCUCUGAUUCAGGAAAAUUACUUAAUUUAUAGUAAUUAGUUACCAAUAAGAAAACAAAUAAUCUAAGCAUGUAAGAUUUUAAGGCACGUUCAAAAAGGCGACGGCCACAUUUCUUUAAGCGUCCAAGGCAACCAGUUAAGAAGAUUCGAAACCAAAAGUCCUUUAAAGCUUUUCUAAAAUGGUUUCUAUAGUCUUCUCAAUAGAGUCUACUAGCCGGUCAUUGCCGCCAGGUAGCGAUAAAAAGGUUUAUUUUGAGGGGUGCGCUUUCUUCGCGCUCACUAAUAUUGUUCGUAAACAUAAAAGGCAAUCAUUAACACAGAGACGAACUUAGGAAUAAUUGUGUAGUUUAUGUUAUAAAACAUUUUUACACCUAAGGAAUGCAUCUGUUUAAAUACCGUAAAAUACCAUGUUUUAUUAAAUUCUGUCAUUUUUGACACAAACUAUUUUUUUUGUUUCAAGACACUAAUCUUGAAUCCCAACUAAUAUUAUAAAUGCGAAAGUAACUCUGUCUGUCUGUCUGUCUGUCUGUCUGUCUGUUACGCUUUCCCGCUUAAACCUCGCAACCGAUUUUGAUGAAAUUUGGCAUAGAGAUAGUUUGAGUCCCGGGAAAGAACAUAGGAUAGUUUUUAUCCCGGUUUUUGAAACAGGGACGCGCGCGAUAAAGUUUUUCUGUGACAGACAAAAUUCCACGCGGGCGAAGCCGCGGGCGGAAAGCUAGUUAGUCAUAAUGUAUCACGUUGCGUUGUGUUAAAUAUUGUUGAAUUAAAAUUGUUUCAGCCUAUGUUGUAAGCCUGUCCUGUAUUACUAAUUAAAAUAUUUAAACAAUAAAAGAUCGCUAUCAAGCAACUGGCAUGUCAGAUUGUGAUGAACGUCCUCAGAAUAAAAUUCUUCUUAUUUUUCAGUC